UGGGGAAUAUUGCACAAUGGGCGCAAGCCUGAUGCAGCAACGCCGCGUGAACGAUGAAGGUCUUCGGAUCGUAAAGUUCUGUUGCAGGGGAAGAUAAUGACGGUACCCUGUGAGGAAGCCCCGGCUAACUACGUGCCAGCAGCCGCGGUAAUACGUAAGGUCCGAGCGUUGUCCGGAAUCAUUGGGCGUAAAGGGUACGUAGGCGGGUAAGCAAGUUAGAAGUGAAAUCCUGUAGCUCAACUACAGUAAGCUUUUAAAACUGCUCAUCUUGAGAUAUGGAAGGGAAAGUGGAAUUCCUAGUGUAGCGGUGAAAUGCGCAGAUAUUAGGAGGAAUACCGGUGGCGAAGCCGACUUUCUGGCCAUAAUCUGACGCUGAGGUACGAAAGCGUGGGUAGCAAACAGG
rnacentral:rRNA from 1 species